rnacentral:rRNA from 1 species
AGCGGCGGACGGGUGAGUAACACGUGGGCAAGCUGCCUGUAAGACUGGGAUAACACCGGGAAACCGGUGCUAAUACCGGAUAAUUCUUUUCCUCUCAUGAGGGAAAGUUGAAAGUCGGUUUCGGCUGACACUUACAGAUGGGCCCGCGGCGCAUUAGCUAGUUGGUGAGGUCACGGCUCACCAAGGCGACGAUGCGUAGCCGACCUGAGAGGGUGAUCGGCCACACUGGGACUGAGACACGGCCCAGACUCCUACGGGAGGCAGCAGUAGGGAAUCUUCCACAAUGGACGAAAGUCUGAUGGAGCAACGCCGCGUGAGCGAUGAAGGCCUUCGGGUCGUAAAGCUCUGUAGUUAGGGAAGAACAAGUACCGGAGUAACUGCCGGUACCUUGACGGUACCUAACCAGAAAGCCACGGCUAACUACGUGCCAGCAGCCGCGGUAAUACGUAGGUGGCAAGCGUUGUCCGGAAUUCUUGGGCGUAAAGCGCGCGCAGGCGGUCCUUAAAGUCUGAUGUGAAACGCCACGGCUCAACCGUGGAGGGUCCUUGGAAACUGGGGGACUUGAG